rnacentral:rRNA from 1 species
UCCCAGACUCCUACGGGAGGCAGCAGUGGGGAAUAUUGCACAAUGGGGGGAACCCUGAUGCAGCAACGCCGCGUGGGUGAAGAAGUACUUCGGUGUGUAAAGCCCUGUCAGCAGGGAAGAAAAUGACGGUACCUGACCAAGAAGCCCCGGCUAACUACGUGCCAGCAGCCGCGGUAAUACGUAGGGGGCAAGCGUUAUCCGGAUUUACUGGGUGUAAAGGGAGCGUAGACGGCAAGGCAAGUCUGGAGUGAAAGCCCGUGGCUCAACCACGGGACUGCUUUGGAAACUGUGUUGCUGGAGUGCAGGAGAGGUAAGCGGAAUUCCUAGUGUAGCGGUGAAAUGCGUAGAUAUACGGAGGAACACCAGUGGCGAAGGCGGAUUGCUGGACAGUAACUGACGCUGAGGCGCGAAAGCGUGGGGAGCAAACAGGAUUAGAUACCCCAGUAG